rnacentral:misc_RNA from 1 species
GAUGAAGAACGCAGCGAAAUGCGAUAAGUAAUGCGAAUUGCAGAAUUUCCGUGAGUCAUCGAAUCUUUGAACGCACAUUGCGCCCCUUGGUAUUCCGGGGGGCAUGCCUGUUCGAGCGUCAUUAUCACCACUCAAGCUCUGCUUGGUUCUGGAUCACGCCGGUAGCGGCUGAUCUUAAAUUCAGUGGCGGCCUCUAUAGGUUCUUCGCGUAGUAAUUCUCUCGCGUGGACACUAUAGAUCAGUCGACCAAAAACCAUUUCUAGGUUGACCUCGGAUCAGGUAGGAAUACCCGCUGAACUUAAGCAUAUCAAUAAGCGGAGGA